rnacentral:piRNA from 1 species
UGAAAAGUUCUGUUCGGUAACAUGGGU